rnacentral:rRNA from 1 species
UACGGAGGAUGCGAGCGUUAUCCGGAUUUAUUGGGUUUAAAGGGUGCGUAGGCGGGCUUUUAAGUCAGCGGUAAAAAUUCGGGGCUCAACCCCGUCCGGCCGUUGAAACUGGGGGCCUUGAGUGGGCGAGAAGGAGGCGGAAUGCGUGGUGUAGCGGUGAAAUGCAUAGAUAUCACGCAGAACCCCGAUUGCGAAGGCAGCCUUCCGGCGCCCUACUGACGCUGAGGCACGAAAGUGCGGGGAUCGAACAGG